rnacentral:rRNA from 1 species
CGAUGAACCACUUCGGUGGGGAUUAGUGGCGAACGGGUGAGUAACACGUGGGCAAUCUGCCCUUCACUCUGGGACAAGCCCUGGAAACGGGGUCUAAUACCGGAUACCACUCUCACGGGCAUCUGUGAGGGUUGAAAGCUCCGGCGGUGAAGGAUGAGCCCGCGGCCUAUCAGCUUGUUGGUGAGGUAACGGCUCACCAAGGCGACGACGGGUAGCCGGCCUGAGAGGGCGACCGGCCACACUGGGACUGAGACACGGCCCAGACUCCUACGGGAGGCAGCAGUGGGGAAUAUUGCACAAUGGGCGAAAGCCUGAUGCAGCGACGCCGCGUGAGGGAUGACGGCCUUCGGGUUGUAAACCUCUUUCAGCAGGGAAGAAGCGAAAGUGACGGUACCUGCAGAAGAAGCGCCGGCUAACUACGUGCCAGCAGCCGCGGUAAUACGUAGGGCGCAAGCGUUGUCCGGAAUUAUUGGGCGUAAAGAGCUCGUAGGCGGCUUGUCACGUCGGGUGUGAAAGCCCGGGGCUUAACCCCGGGUCUGCAUUCGAUACGGGCUAGCUAGAGUGUGGUAGGGGAGAUCGGAAUUCCUGGUGUAGCGGUGAAAUGCGCAGAUAUCAGGAGGAACACCGGUGGCGAAGGCGGAUCUCUGGGCCAUUACUGACGCUGAGGAGCGAAAGCGUGGGGAGCGAACAGGAUUAGAUACCCUGGUAGUCCACGCCGUAAACGGUGGGAACUAGGUGUUGGCGACAUUCCACGUCGUCGGUGCCGCAGCUAACGCAUUAAGUUCCCCGCCUGGGGAGUAC